UAGGAGAGCAAACUCUAAACAAACCCGGGCAGGUGGAGCUCGUUAGCCGUGGUAGGCAGUUCGCCUAGGAGAGCAAACUCCGAACAACAAACCCGGGCAGGUGGAGCUCGUUAGCCGUGGUAGGCAGUUCGCCUAGGAGAGCAAACUCCGAACAACAAACCCGGGCAGGUGGAGCUCGUUAGCCGUGGUAGGCAGUUCGCCUAGGAGAGCAAACUCCAAACAAACCCGGGUAGGUGGAGGUCGUUAGCCGUGGUAGGCAAUUCACCUAGGAGAGCAAACUCCGAACAACAAACCCGGGCAGGUGGAGCUCGUUAGCCGUGGUAGGCAGUUCACCUAGGAGAGCAAACUCCGAACAACAAACCCGGGCAGGUGGAGGUCGUUAGCCGUGGUAGGCAAUUCACCUAGGAGAGCAAACUCCGAACAACAAACCCGGGCAGGUGGAGGUCGUUAGCCGUGGUAGGCAGUUCACCUAGGAGAGCAAACUCCGAACAACAAACCCGGGCAGGUGGAGGUCGUUAGCCGUGGUAGGCAGUUCACCUAGGAGAGCAAACUCCGAACAACAAACCCGGGCAGGUGGAGCUCGUUAGCCGUGGUAGGCAGUUCACCUAGGAGAGCAAACUCCGAACAACAAACCCGGGCAGGUGGAGCUCGUUAGCCGUGGUAGGCAGUUCACCUAGGAGAGCAAACUCCGAACAACAAACCCGGGCAGGUGGAGCUCGUUAGCCGUGGUAGGCAGUUCACCUAGGAGAGCAAACUCCGAACAACAAACCCGGGCAGGUGGAGCUCGUUAGCCGUGGUAGGCAGUUCACCUAGGAGAGCAAACUCCGAACAACAAACCCGGGUUUGUGGUGCCCGUUAGAUGUCGUAGACAAUCCACGUGAUGGGAACACCAAAGAAAAUGAAAAUGAAAAAGAACACCAGAAAAAGGAAAGUGUAGAAACGAAACAUCGAGAAAAGAAAAAGCAAACACACAUCAUCCACUUUUCGGCCCUAACUAACAUCGACAAAAUUCUGGGUGAGUCUUUUCUGGGGAGAAAAAGGCUCAUCCAGACCAAAGAACAUCAACGAAAGGAUGAUAUAGAAAAGAACAUCUAGAAAACAUAGAAAAGAAAAAAGAAAAGAAAAA